rnacentral:rRNA from 1 species
GACUCUGCUUGACUAGCUGAGAGGAGGUGCAUGGCCGUCGUCAGUUCGUACUGUGAAGCAUCCUGUUAAGUCAGGCAACGAGCGAGACCCACGCCAACAGUUGCCAGCAUGUCCUCCGGGAUGAUGGGGACACUGUUGGGACCGCCUCUGCUAAAGAGGAGGAAGGAAUGGGCAACGGUAGGUCAGCAUGCCCCGAAUUAUCCGGGCUACACGCGGGCUACAAUGGUCAGGACAAUGGGUAUCGACACCGAGAGGUGGAGGCAAUCUCCUAAACCUGUCCUUAGUUCGGAUUGUGGGCUGCAACUCGCCCACAUGAAGCUGGAAUCCGUAGUAAUCGCGUUUCAAAAUAGCGCGGUGAAUAUGUCCCUGCUCCUU